rnacentral:rRNA from 1 species
AGCAGUGGGGAAUUUUGGACAAUGGGCGCAAGCCUGAUCCAGCAAUGCCGCGUGAGUGAAGAAGGCCUUCGGGUUGUAAAGCUCUUUUGUCAGGAAAGAAACGGUGAGGGCUAAUAUCCCUUGCUAAUGACGGUACCUGAAGAAUAAGCACCGGCUAACUACGUGCCAGCAGCCGCGGUAAUACGUAGGGUGCAAGCGUUAAUCGGAAUUACUGGGCGUAAAGCGUGCGCAGGCGGUUUUGUAAGUUUGUCGUGAAAGCCCCGGGCUCAACCUGUGAAUUGCGAUGAAGACUGCAUGGGCUUGAAUCUGGGAGAAGGGGGGUAGAAUUCCACGUGUAGCAGUGAAAUGCGUAAAGAUGUGGAGGAACACCGAUGGGAAGCAGCCCCCUGGGUCAAGAUUGACGCUCAUG